AGCUGAGCUAUCCCGACCAUUCUUAUCAUAGUAACCUUUAUUAUUUUAGUCGAUGGCUCGGCUCUAUGUCAAUUAAAGGGAAAGGGGGGGUUACAAAUUUUUAUCCAACUACUAAAAUUUCUUUUAUCUUCAAAAAGAUCACUUUUGGGGUUUCAGUAUUCGUAAAGCUAUUUAUUGAUUGUGAAUCAUUUAAAUCAGGAUUAUUUGUUAAAUUCGGAUGUGUAUUCUAUAUCACAUAGGAGAAUAAAAAAUCAUUUACGCCCAACUACGGUUGUCAAAGAAUCAUAAAAAUAAAGCAAUUUGGAACGGAAAGGGAGAGGGUAGGAUAAAGUUUUGGGGCUUGUUUGGGGAUAGAGGGACUUGAACCCUCACGAUUUCAAAGUCAACGGAUUUUCCUCUUACUCUAAAUUUAAUUGUUGUCAGUAUUGACAUGUAGAAGGGGACUCUAUCUUUAUUCUUGUCCGAUUGAUCCAUUCGUUAAAAGGUUAUCGGACUAUGGAGUGAAUGAUUUGAUGAAAACAAUUCGAUUUUUCCUUCAAUGUCUAAUGAAUUUCCACCAAUUCUUCUUCUUCUCUUUUUAAUAUAAAAAAAUAUAUCUAGAGAUUUGGGCCAUCAUUAAUCAUUUUCGAUGGUAUUCAAUAGAUAGGUUUAUCCUUUCUUUCGGACGUUUUGAUGGAAAGAUUCCUCUACCAGUGCCCCCAUUUGUUAGAACAGCUUCCAUUGAGUCUCUGGACCUAUCUUCGUUUUCUGAACGGUUCAGAAAACAGGAUUUGGCUCAGGAUUGCCCUUUUUUUUAAUUCCGGGGUUUCCCUGAAUUUGAAAGUUCUCACCUAGUAGGUUUCCAUAC
rnacentral:misc_RNA from 1 species